rnacentral:rRNA from 1 species
GACGAACGCUGGCGGCGUGCCUAAUACAUGCAAGUUGAGCGCUGAAGGUUGGUACUUGUACCAACUGGAUGAGCAGCGAACGGGUGAGUAACGCGUGGGGAAUCUGCCUUUGAGCGGGGGACAACAUUUGGAAACGAAUGCUAAUACCGCAUAAAAACUUUAAACACAAGUUUUAAGUUUGAAAGAUGCAAUUGCAUCACUCAAAGAUGAUCCCGCGUUGUAUUAGCUAGUUGGUGAGGUAAAGGCUCACCAAGGCGAUGAUACAUAGCCGACCUGAGAGGGUGAUCGGCCACAUUGGGAAUGAGACACGGCCCAAACUCCUACGGGAGGCAGCAGUAAGGAAUCUUCGGCAAUGGACGAAAGUCUGACCGGGGAACGCCGCGUGAGUGAAGAAGGGUUUCGGAUCGUAAAACUCUGUUGGUAGAGAAGAACGUUGGUGAGAGUGGAAAGCGCAUCAAGUGACGGUAACUACCCAGAAAGGGACGGCUAACUACGUG